rnacentral:rRNA from 1 species
UACGUAGGGUGCGAGCGUUGUCCGGAAUUAUUGGGCGUAAAGAGCUCGUAGGCGGUCUGUCGCGUCGGUCGUGAAAACUUGGGGCUUAACCCUGAGCUUGCGGUCGAUACGGGCAUGACUGGAGUUCGGCAGGGGAGACUGGAAUUCCUGGUGUAGCGGUGAAAUGCGCAGAUAUCAGGAAGAACACCUAUGGCGAAGGCAGCUCUCUGGGACGGUACUGACGCUGAGACGCGAAAGCGUGGGGAGCGAACAGG